CCCUGUCUUGAAACCCGCUCCCCCCCCCAAAAAAAAGGUAAUUGGGAUAGUGAGGUGGCUUAGAAAGAAAAGGUGCUUACUAUCAAGAAUGAGGACUUAAGCCCAAUCCCUAGAACUCAUAUGGUGGUAAGAAAAAAAAAAAAAAAAAACUACAAGUUGUCCUCUGACCUCGACAUAUGUGGUACACACACGCCUAGUCACACCACUAAAAUUUUUAAAUGUAAAAAGUAUUGAAAAAUAAAAAAGGAAGCAAUGUUAAGAUGAGGUCAUAAUUCCAAGCACAUUGCUACAAUCCCAGCACUCGGGAAGCUGAGGCAGGAAGAUCUCAAGUUUGAAGACCCUAGCCCAAAUGAAAGGAGAAAGAAGAGGAGGAGGGGAGGGAAACAAAGCCCUUGUGCCCCUAGACAGAGACUUGUACAGUGGAUUAGAAAGGGAUUAGAGGCAGGGAAGGCAUUGGAAAGGGCUUCUGACAACGCCAUGCUGACCGGGCCAGCUCCAGGGUGGUCGUCUUAGAGGUAGGGAUGACGGACAGGAGACAACGCGGAAGCGGGAAGAUGACCAGCUGCUCACAGUACAAAAGGGGAGUAGGAAUCUGGCUGCCCUUCCCUGAGGGGCUUUCUGGGCACGGCAGCAGCAGCAGCAGCAAGAGCCCCACAACAUAAGGGAGACAUGGGUUUGGCUUGAGGUGCUGGGUGUGUUGACCGCACCUGCUAGAAGCUCAGGUACAUCUGGGCUCCAGAGUCGGUGAUUUGUAGAAGCCAAAGCCAUGGGGAAGAACAUGAUAGCAACGGCAGUUGGCAGGGAGAAAUCGGGGCUGGAGAGGAGGAUGAAUAGAUAGCUGCAAUCAGGAAAAAGCCCUGGAGACUGUCACAGCCAAGGAGCCUACGGAGACAAGAUGACUGUGUGUCACAUGGAUCUCAGACGUGAUCUUGGAACAGGAAAGGGCCAUUAGAAGCCCUUUUGUUCCCUGGUAAAUGCACAGUGUGGUUCCCUUGGAGAUCUCAGGAAGCUGAGCCAUCAACCCCCCCAAGGCGGCUGGCUAGGAAGAGCGUAUUCCCUCUGGUGCCUCUUUCCCUGAGUGAGUCACACAAUGAAUCAUGUCUAAUGAUGUGCUGCGCCCUGAGUUUACCCCACCUGGAGGGCAUACCAAGGUGGCAGUAAUAACACACCUCACGUCGAACCUCAUCAGUCUCUGUGACAUGCAAGGAAGAGGACCCAUCUUGUCAGAAAGAACCACCUGACUAGAAUGUCUCUACCAGAAAGCUCGGGAUGACCCUCAUUCUCCCUGAAGCUGGACAGCUUUUCGAGAGACUCCCUGGGUCCCAGAACAUUUGCGGCAACCACAAGAACACCCCACCACAUACAAACUUCUGAAUGUGCAUGACUUCCUCCCCUACGUGCCCCACCCGCCCCUGGGACCUGCUAACUAUCUGGUCUGUGAAAUGGAUGUGGAAGCAGGCAAUAAAACAUGUCAAAGGAGUAGGAAAACCAACAGCCCCCAAAGGAGUUUGCAUGUGAAAAAAAAAAAAAUUGCACAGAAGUAGAUUAACACAGAAGAGGGAAGAUCGGGGAGAUCCAAGCCAGAAAAGGGGGCUAUACCAAGGUAAGCACAUGCCUGCAGUAUUGCACUACAAUAGCUUUGCACAAUGAGACGGCGGGGUGAAGCGGCAGCCCCACGAGGGUUCCGUCAUAGCUGACAACCACAUGUGAAUGGCAACUGUGUCAGUCAAGUCUUCAAACAACUCAAGGGCAGACAUUGUUUAGUCAUGAACAUUCUGCUCGCCUCGCUGGCCUGCCAAAGUCUUCUAUCUAAUCUCGCUGAACUGAGUUUCUCACCUAACAAAUGGGUGGUGGUUCCAACUGCUGGAGCAACUGGCUAUCACGUGAAGUGCCUGGCAUCAGGCAGGCACUCGGCACGUGGCAGGAAUCCAUGUCUCCCCAGCCCUCUGGUUGCUGGAUGCCGAACUUUGUCCCAAGUUCUUCCACUGGGCUGAGGAGAGAGCUCAGUGAGGCAAGGCACUUGUUGCCAAGCCUGACAACCUGA